CAUGUGUAGUAAAAAAAAAAAAAAACCUGGAAUGAUACAGAGAAGAUUAGUAUGGUCACUGCACUAGGAUGAGAAAAUACUGACCUAGUACUGACAUUGACUU